rnacentral:rRNA from 1 species
AGUUGUAACCUCAAGAAGUGUUAUCUGUGCUGGACCGUUCAUGAGUCUGUUGGAAUGCAGCGUCAUAGAGGGUGAGAACCCCGUUCAUGGCACGGACUCCCAGUGCUUUGUGUUGCACUUUCUAAGAGUCGAGUUGUUUGGGAAUGCAGCUCAAAUUGGGUGGUAAAUUCCAUCUAAGGCUAAAUAUUGGUGGGAGACCGAUAGCGAACAAGUACCGUGAGGGAAAGAUGAAAAGCACUUUGGAAAGAGAGUUAACAGUACGUGAAAUUGUUGAAAGGGAAACGCUUGAAGUCAGACAUGCUUGUGGGGUUCAGCCUUAGGGUGUACUCUUCCACAUGCAGGCUAGUAUCAGUUUUGGAGGCCAGAUAAGGGUUUGGGGAAGGUGGCACCUCCGGGUGUGUUAUAGCCCCUUUCUGGAUAUGGUCUCUGGGACUGAGGAUCGCAGCGCGCCUUACGGCAUUGGCUUCGGCCUUUCCGCGCUUAGGAUACUGGCAUAAUGGC